rnacentral:rRNA from 1 species
CUAAGUUUGAUGGCGACCGGCGCACGGGUGAGUAACACGUAUCCAACCUGCCGAUGACUCGGGGAUAGCCUUUCGAAAGAAAGAUUAAUACCCGAUGGCAUAGUUCUUCCGCGUGGUAGAACUAUUAAAGAAUUUCGGUCAUCGAUGGGGAUGCGUUCCAUUAGGUUGUUGGCGGGGUAACGGCCCACCAAGCCUUCGAUGGAUAGGGGUUCUGAGAGGAAGGUCCCCCACAUUGGAACUGAGACACGGUCCAAACUCCUACGGGAGGCAGCAUG